CUCGUGCUGUGAAGUGUUGGGUUAAGUCCCGCAACGAGCGCAACCCUAUCAUCUGUUGCCAGCAUUUAAGUGGGGACUCAGAUGAGACUGCCGGUGACAAACCGGAGGAAGGUGGGGACGACGUCAAGUCAUCAUGGCCCUUAUGUCCUGGGCUACACACGUGCUACAAUGGCCGGUACAGAGUGAAGCGAAACCGCGAGGUGAAGCAAAACGCAGAAAGCCGGUCUCAGUACGGAUUGGAGUCUGAAACUCGACUUCAUGAAGUUGGAAUCGCUAGUAAUCGCGCAUCAGCAUGGCGCGGUGAAUACGUUCCCGGGCCUU
rnacentral:rRNA from 1 species